rnacentral:rRNA from 1 species
CCUACGGGGGGCAGCAGUCGAGAAUCAUUCACAAUGGGGGAAACCCUGAUGGUGCGACGCCGCGUGGGUGAAUGAAGGUCUUCGGAUUGUAAACCCCUGUCAUGUGGGAGCAAAUUAUAAAGAUAAUACCACAAGCGGAAGAGACGGCUAACUCGGUGCCAGCCGCCGCGGUAAUACCGAGGUCUCAAGCGUUGUUCGGAAUCACUGGGCGUAAAGCGUACGUAGGCUGUUUCGUAAGUCGUGUGUGAAAGGCGCGGGCUCAACCGGGGGACGGCAUAUGAGACUGCGAGACUAGAGUAAUGGAGGGGGGACCAGAAUUCCCGGUGUAGCAGUGAAAUGCGUAGAUAUCGGGAGGAAUACUCGUGGCGAAGGCGGGUUCCUGGACAUAAACUGACGCUGAGGUACGAAGGCCAGGGGAGCGAAAGGGAUUAGAUACCCUAGUAGUC